rnacentral:tRNA from 1 species
ACCCGGGUGGCUCAGUCGGUUGAGCAUCUGACUUUGGCUCAGGUCAUGAUCUCGCGGUUCGUGGGUUCAAGCCCCGCGUCGGGCU